AGAGUUUGAUCCUGGCUCAGAACGAACGCUGGCGGCGUGGAUAAGACAUGCAAGUCGAACGGGACAACAUUUGUAGCAAUACAGAUGUUGUUUAGUGGCGAACGGGUGCGUAACACGUGGGCAAUCUGCCGAAAAGUGGGGGAUAGCUCGCCGAAAGGCGAAUUAAUACCGCAUAUGGUCAGCCAAGACAUCUUGGCGAAUCCAAAGCCGGGGCAACCUGGCGCUUUUUGAGGAGCCCGCGGCCUAUCAGCUAGUUGGUGAGGUAACGGCUCACCAAGGCUAUGACGGGUAGCUGGUCUGAGAGGACGACCAGUCACACUGGAACUGAGACACGGUCCAGACACCUACGGGUGGCAGCAGUCGAGAAUUUUUCUCAAUGGGGGAAACCCUGAAGGAGCGACGCCGCGUGGAGGAUGAAGGCUUUCGGGUUGUAAACUCCUGUCAUUUGGGAACAAGCUGCGCCGGUUAACUGCCGGAGUAUUGAUAGUACCAGAAGAGGAAGAGACGGCUAACUCUGUGCCAGCAGCCGCGGUAAUACAGAGGUCUCAAGCGUUGUUCGGAUUCAUUGGGCGUAAAGGGUGCGUAGGUGGCGCUGUAAGUCGGGUGUGAAAUUUCGAGGCUUAACCUCGAAACUGCAUUCGAUACUGCGGUGCUUGAGGACUGGAGAGGAGACUGGAAUUCAUGGUGUAGCAGUGAAAUGCGUAGAGAUCAUGAGGAAGACCAGUGGCGAAGGCGGGUCUCUGGACAGUUCCUGACACUGAGGCACGAAGGCCAGGGGAGCAAACGGGAUUAGAUACCCUAGUAGUCC
rnacentral:rRNA from 1 species